AUUUGAAUGUCUGUGGAGGCAUCUGAGAAGAACCUGGAGACUCCUGCGCUGCCGUAGACCUCAUGAGUCUGAAAUAAAACUCUCAGUGGAAGAAACAUCAUCACUAGUCCAUAGCUCCGUCCGUUCUUGGUGAAGGCCAAGUUGUUUUCUUCACUGAGAUGAUCACUUUUGAUGAAUUGAUGAUCAUCCAAACAACAGAAUUCUUGGACCAACUUUUAAAGCAUUUAAAAUAUGGCAAGAUUGAUCUACUUCCCUCAAGCUGUCUCCAAAGCAGAAUCACUGUUACUGAAUAAUGCUGUCCACACAAACCUAGUGCCUCAUCAUUAGUGCCUAUGUAUUCUCAGGAGACCAAACCUGUCGUCAUAAGAUUUCAGAGCCGUUGGCUGGUCCUACGCCUUCAGACUUAAGAAAAUGUGACCACAUUUGCCAACUACCAAAGACGGUGUAUUCUUCUUGUGCCCUACUGGUGUACUAGUCUUUAGGUCAAAUAUGUAAAAUAUUUGUGAGGUCCAUCUA